AGCCUACGGGAGGCAGCAGUGGGGAAUAUUGGGCAAUGGGCGCAAGCCUGACCCAGCAACGCCGCGUGAAGGAAGAAGGCUUUCGGGUUGUAAACUUCUUUUAUCAGGGACGAAGCAAGUGACGGUACCUGAUGAAUAAGCCACGGCUAACUACGUGCCAGCAGCCGCGGUAAUACGUAGGUGGCAAGCGUUAUCCGGAUUUACUGGGUGUAAAGGGCGUGUAGGCGGGAGGGCAAGUCAGAUGGGAAAACUAUGGGCUCAACCCAUAGCCUGCAUUUGAAACUGUACUUCUUG
rnacentral:rRNA from 1 species